ensembl:lncRNA
CUCGUACAGAAAGUGUCUUUGAUGUUCUUGUCUUUGAUUCGGGUUUUUUUUUGGGGGGGGGGGGGGUGUAAUUUCGGAUUGCCACUUGCCUCUGCUCUCUCCACUUUGGUGAAUGUCAUUUGGGGGUUCCCAGCGAUGGCGCGUAUUGUCACAUGUCACCUUGCUUUUUCCUCGCCUCUGGCUUAUGGAGGGGCUUGCCACCACCAGUGCUUUUUUGCGAAACAGAUGAACGUGGGUAUAUGUUUUUAAUAAGUAAUAAUAAUAAUGUAUAUGACUGAAAGAACCCAGGCGGUUUUGCUGUUAAUAUAUGGGUAUAGAAACGUGCACUUUGAGGUCUAGUCCAGUAUGUUAGAGAAGCACCAACAUGCCAUGCGGACUCACCACAGGGUCACCAUGCCAGGCCAGGAAGUGUCGAUAUCUAAACACUUAAAGUUAACCAGCCCUGUCGGAGCCUUUGGAGUGUACUGUUGCAGCCAUCUUACCUUGAUCACAGAAACACUGUCAAACCACAGUUGAGACAGACUGCUGAAACAACCAGUCACUGUGUGCACACGUGGGUGGGGGGUGGUGAGAGAGAGUGUGUGUGUGUGGGUGUGUGCACUGGCCGAGUGUCUCUAUUUCUUGAUUUGAGCGGGCUGGCAUUCACAGAAACAUUUGGAGAGCCUGUUGUGUUGUAUUGUGUUCUGUGAGGUGUUUCUCUUGUUGAUCUUCACAUACUGUACCGGUGCAGACGUAAAGGCACAUCAUGGGCUCGGACAAGAACAAGUGCUCAGCUGGUACUAGGUAUCGUGUAAAGUAGGGAAUAGCCUUCACUUCUGUGCAUCCCACAGGGAGCUAGUUAGCUUUAAAAAAUGUAUUUAUAUAGACAUGGAAAUAUGUGAGUAUAUUAUGUAUACCAGCCAUAUUGUUUGGUAACUGUUGAAACAUUGUUUAAGCUACAUGGUGAACUAAGGGUUGCUUCAAGUGUCAUGGCAGUCUAGCAUACUGGUAUUAGGGUCAGUCGGAAGUGUGGGAUUUUACAGCCUUGUUAAUUAUUGAACUACUGAACUCUUGAACUGUACAGAAAAAUAAGAUUGCAUGGAAACUUGUUACUGUAAUUAAUAACCUAUACAGUAUAUGAUAUUUAAUUUUUUUUUAAAGCACUUGCUUAAAUGAAACCCAUUUACCAACAGCGAAAUAAUUGAUUAAAACAGUUUUAUUUUUCUUCAAGCAGAUGACUGACAUCUAAGAAUUUAUUUGUAGAAUAGAGAGAUUGUUCAUCGUUUCUGUUUGGUUUUAUGGUUGCUGGGGGAUUUGUGUUUUUGUUUAGUUUUUUUCUAGGUGGGAAAAAGAAAAUGUGUAAAAUAAACAUAAGAAUAAUGCGAAAUGAUAAUAAUAACAAUAAUAAAAUUAAUUAUAAUAUUUCAGUGACAAGUGAAUUGGUUUGAGAAUGUCUUCAAGAACUUUCCAAACAAUUAUGUCUGGUUUACACAGUGCUAUCCAGUUGUGCAUACUGGGUAAUGAAGUUUUUAAAAAUGUGUGUAUAUUGAAGGGCUUGGUGUGGUUUUGGGCUCUAGGAAACGUGAUCCUUGUCUGAGAUGCCUAAUUUUGAGGAUUGCCUAGCUGUAUAUACUUACUGUGGCCUCUUCUGCAGUUAACAGCGUGUCUAUUGCACCAGGAAGUGAUUUAAUGUUGAUAGAUGCAGGAGUUCCUUGGCUGUUCCCUGGCUUUGUCUUGUAGAACAUGUAAAGCAGGUCGUCUCAGACAGUGUCUGGAGCCUCAAACUCACAACUGAGAAAUUACAGAAUCUCUGUUUUGCCUUGUUAAUUUGAAUUGUGGACACAUCAUUUUAUAUAUAUGAAAGACAUGAAAUAAAGAUUAUUUAUCUUGUUAUUUAUUUGGAGUUUGUCUUUUUGUGUCAUUUAUAACUUAUAAAUUGACUACUACAGUGAGGUUCUGUGCAACAUAUUUUACCUAGUGGAUGUUGCUCUUUUGUCCAGCAGAUGGCAAUGUUGAACCAUUUUAGUUUCAAUAUGUUUUAGCAUCCACUAAAUUCUUAUUUUAUGGACCAUGACUUGAUAUCUGUGACCUCCCACUUCAAGUCACUUGAACACAACUACGUGUUCUAAUUUCAAAUCAAGCUGAAUGUAGAGAAUUAAUGUAUAGAGGGUGAAGAGUGAUUUUACAUUUUUUGACCCAAUGUCCCUACUUUUGUACAAAACAAAGCUUACC